AACUUUUAGCAAUGGAUCUCUUGGCUCUCGCAUCGAUGAAGAACGCAGCGAAAGGCGAUAAGUAAUGUGAAUUGCAGAAUUCAGUGAAUCAUCGAAUCUUUGAACGCACCUUGCACCCUUUGGCAUUCCGAAGGGUAUGCUCGUUUGAGUGUCAUUGUACUCUCACACUUCUGAUCCUUUGGAUCGGGAGCGGUGGACUUGGGUGCUGCUGCUUUACUGUGGCUCACCUCAAAUGCAUUAGUGCAACUCUUGGUUGGACAUAGUACGGCGUGAUAAGUAUCUUCGCCGGCACCUCGCAAGAGGGUGGCUGACCAGGGGCUCUGUGCUUUCCAACUGUCUUCAGACAACAACUGACAACUUGACCUCAAAUCGAGUAGGACCACCCGCUGAACUUAAGCAUAUCAAUAAGCGGAGGCU
rnacentral:misc_RNA from 1 species